rnacentral:rRNA from 1 species
AUUGAACGCUGGCGGCAGGCCUAACACAUGCAAGUCGAGCGGAUGAAGGGAGCUUGCUCCUGGAUUCAGCGGCGGACGGGUGAGUAAUGCCUAGGAAUCUGCCUGGUAGUGGGGGAUAACGUCCGGAAACGGGCGCUAAUACCGCAUACGUCCUGAGGGAGAAAGUGGGGGAUCUUCGGACCUCACGCUAUCAGAUGAGCCUAGGUCGGAUUAGCUAGUUGGUGGGGUAAAGGCCUACCAAGGCGACGAUCCGUAACUGGUCUGAGAGGAUGAUCAGUCACACUGGAACUGAGACACGGUCCAGACUCCUACGGGAGGCAGCAGUGGGGACUCUUGGCCCCUGGGCGCCCGCCUGCUCCCGCCCUGCCGCGUGUGUGAAGAAGGUCUUCGGAUUGUAAAGCACUUUAAGUUGGGAGGAAGGGCAGUACGUUAAUACCUUGCUGUUUUGACGUUACCACCAGAAUAAGCACCGGCUCACUUCGUG